GUACAUAUGGUGAAGUGAAAUAGAAAUCCACCGUGGCAAUCAAAGGCGACCUCGACAAUAAUACACGUCAGAAGUCACACCGCACCGUUAGAUUUCCAAUUACAUGAAUAGCUUCUCUUCUUAGCCUCAAAUUCGUCAGGUAGUGAGGCCGCUCCAAUAUUUGUACAAAUCUCCUCAUCACUCUCACAACUCACACACAUUGCAGGACUACAGUGAAGCCGGCGGCAAAGAAAACUGAGGAAGUGAGAAAUGCCUGGGAUUAGAGGGCCUUCCGAUUAUUCGCGAGAGCCCCCUCGCCAUCCUUGCCUUAAAAUUAACGCCAAGGAACCUUUUAAUGCCGAGCCAACUCGUUCAGCUCUGAUUUCAUCUUAUGUCACUCCUGUUGAUUUCUUCUACAAGAGAAACCACGGACCCAUACCAGUAGUGGAUGACAUAGAGAGGUAUUCCGUUUCUCUGAGUGGUCUUAUUAAAAAUUCCAAAGACUUGUUUAUGAAGGAUAUUUGUAAGCUUCCAAAAUAUACCGUUACUGCCACUUUACAGUGUGCUGGUAACAGAAGAACUGCUAUGAGCAAGAGUCGAACGGUGAAAGGAGUUGGUUGGGAUAUUGCUGCUUUAGGAAAUGCUGUUUGGGGUGGAGCAAAAUUGGCAGAUGUUCUUGAAUUAGUUGGAAUACCUUAUUUGACAAGUAUCACGCAAUCUGGAGGAAAACAUGUUGAAUUUGUGAGCAUUGACAAGUGUAAGGAGGAAAAUGGAGGUCCUUAUAAGGCAUCAAUUCCAUUGAGUCAGGCUACAAACCCUGAAGCUGAUGUUCUUCUGGCUUAUGAGAUGAAUGGAGAGCCAAUUAAUAGGGAUCAUGGCUAUCCACUGCGUGUGGUUGUCCCUGGUGUGAUAGGUGCCCGUUCAGUUAAGUGGCUUGAUUACAUCAAUAUCAUUGCCGAAGAAUGCCAGGGAUUCUUUAUGCAAAAAGACUACAAGAUGUUUCCACCAACAGUGAACUGGGAUAACAUCAACUGGUCUACUAGGAGACCGCAGAUGGACUUCCCUGUUCAGAGCGCAAUAUGUUCCCUGGAUGAUGUGAGUGUUGUAAAGCAUGGAAAGAUAACCAUCAAGGGGUACGCAGUAUCAGGAGGUGGGCGUGGCAUAGAAAGGGUAGAUGUGUCUAUUGAUGGUGGUAAAACUUGGGAGGAAGCCACCAGAUACCAGAGAACUGGCGUUCCAUAUAUUGCUGAUGAUUCAAGCAGUGACAGAUGGGCAUGGGUCUUUUUUGAAGCUGAGGCAAAUAUUCCACAGAGUGCGGAGAUAGUUGCUAAAGCGGUGGAUAUAUCUGCAAAUGUCCAACCUGAAAGUAUAGAUUCUGUCUGGAAUCUGAGAGGAAUCCUGAACACCUCAUGGCAUCGGGUUCAUGUCCGAGUUGGUCAAGCAAAUCUUUAGGCUGUGUUUCAUGUGUUGAGCAGAUGACAGUAUUCAGCAUCACAGGCCAUGGUUGUUUGUAUCCUUCUUAGCUUAAAAUGAAAGUAGCAUGGUUGUUUGUAACUUCCUAGCUUAAAAUGAAAAUAAAAUGUUUUCUUGAUGUUGUCUCAAAAUACUAAUGGAAAUAAUAAUAAUAAUAAUUUGGAAGUGA